GUGCUCGCUUCGGCAGCACAUAUACUAAAAUUGGAACGAAACAGAGAAGAUUAGCAUGGCCCCUGAGCAAGGAUGACACGAGAUUAAAACAGCUUAAUAUUUACUUU